rnacentral:rRNA from 1 species
ACGCUGGCGGCACGCCUUAUCAUGCAAGUCGAACGAAGUAGCAAUACUUAGUGGCAGACGGGUGAGUAACAUGUGGGUAUCUUCCCUUUGGUGAGGAAUAACACGAGGAAACUUGUGCUAAUACCUCAUAAGUCUUUACGGAGAAAGCUUUAUGCGCCAAUGGAUGAGCCCGCACUUGAUUAGUUUGUUGGUGGGGUAACGGCCUACCAAGACUUUGAUCAAUAGCUGAUCUGAGAGGAUGAUCAGCCACAUUGGGACUGAGACACGGCCCAAACUCCUACGGGAGGCAGCAGUAGGGAAUAUUGCACAAUGGAGGAAACUCUGAUGCAGCGAUGCCGCGUGAGUGAAGAAGGCCUUUGGGUUGUAAAGCUCUUUCGUCGGGGAAGAAAAUGACGGUACCCGAAUAAGAAGGUCCGGCU